UCUGGUUGAUCCUGCCGGACCCGACUGCUAUCAGAGUGGGACUAAGCCAUGCGAGUCAACGUAGCAAUGCGUGGCGAACGGCUCGGUAACACGUAGUCAACAUGCCCAGGGGACGUGGAUAACCUCGGGAAACUGAGAUUAAACCGCGAUAGGUCAAGAUUUCUGGAAUGGAUCGUGUCUUAAAUCUACAUGGCCCCUGGAUUGGACUGCGGCCGAUCAGGCUGUUGGUGAGGUAAUGGCCCACCAAACCUAUAACCGGUACGGGCUCUGAGAGGAGAAGCCCGGAGAUGGGCACUGAGACAAGGGCCCAGGCCCUAUGGGGCGCAGCAGGCGCGAAACCUCUGCAAUGGGCGAAAGCCUGACAGGGUUACUCUGAGUGAUUUCCGCUAAGGAGAUCUUUUGGCAGCUCUAAAAAUGGUGCAGAAUAAGGGGUGGGCAAGUCUGGUGUCAGCCGCCGCGGUAAUACCAGCACCCCGAGUGGUCGGGACGAUUAUUGGGCCUAAAGCAUCCGUAGCCAGUUGUGCAAGUCCUCCGUUAAAUCCAGCCGCUCAACGGAUGGGCUGCGGAGGAUACUACAGGACUAGGAGGCGGGAGAGGCAAGCGGUACUUAGUGGGUAGGGGUAAAAUCCUUUGAUCCAUUGAAGACCACCAGUGGCGAAGGCGGCUUGCCAGAACGCGCUCGACGGUGAGGGAUGAAAGCUGGGGGAGCAAACCGGAUUAGAUACCCGGGUAGUCCCAGCUGUAAACGAUGCAGACUCGGUGAUGGGCCAGCCUUGUGCUAGCCCAGUGCCGCAGGGAAGCCGUUAAGUCUGCCGCCUGGGGAGUACGGUCGCAAGACUGAAACUUAAAGGAAUUGGCGGGGGAGCACCACAAGGGGUGAAGCCUGCGGUUCAAUUGGACUCAACGCCGGGGACUCUAGAGGAUCC
rnacentral:rRNA from 1 species